AAUGAACGUUGGCGGCGUGGAUUAGGCAUGCAAGUCGAGCGAGAACCCAGCAAUGGGGGACAGCGGCGCAAGGGACAGUAAUGUGUAGAUUAUCUGCCCUCGGGUCCGGGAUAGCUGCGGGAAACUGCAGGUAAUACCGGAUAACAUCUCCGGAUCAAAGGUGUGGUUCCGCCCGAGGAUGAGUCUACAUCCUAUUAGCUAGUUGGCAGGGUAAUGGCCUACCAAGGCGAUGAUGGGUAGCGGGUGUGAGAGCACGACCCGCGUCAUUGGGACUGAGACACUGCCCAGACACCUACGGGUGGCUGCAGUCGAGAAUCUUCGGCAAUGGGCGCAAGCCUGACCGAGCGACGCCGCGUGUGGGAUGAAGGCCUUCGGGUUGUAAACCACUGUCAGAGGGGAUGAAAUGCAGGUGGGUUCUCCCAUCUGUUUGACAUAGCCUCAGAGGAAGGACGGGCUAAGUUCGUGCCAGCCGCCGCAGUAAGAC
rnacentral:rRNA from 1 species